rnacentral:ribozyme from 1 species
GAUAAAGGGGAAAGUUGUGGUGGAUUCACAGACCGGCUCAUGAAUCUUGCCUGGAACAUGUGGGCGGCCCACCAAACCAACCGCAAGCUGCUCAUCAAAUACGACAAACCCC